rnacentral:rRNA from 1 species
GACGAACGCUGGCGGCGUGCUUAACACAUGCAAGUCGAACGGAAAGGCCCUGCUUUUGUGGGGUGCUCGAGUGGCGAACGGGUGAGUAGCACGUGAGUAACCUGCCCUUGACUUUGGGAUAACUUCAGGAAACUGGGGCUAAUACCGGAUAGGAGCUCCUGCUGCAUGGUGGGGGUUGGAAAGUUUCGGCGGUUGGGGAUGGACUCGCGGCUUAUCAGCUUGUUGGUGGGGUAGUGGCUUACCAAGGCUUUGACGGGUAGCCGUCCUGAGAGGGUGACCGGCCACAUUGGGACUGAGAUACGGCCCAGACUCCUACGGGAGGCAGCAGUGGGGAAUAUUGCACAAUGGGCGGAAGCCUGAUGCAGCAACGCCGCGUGCGGGAUGACGGCCUUCGGGUUGUAAACCGCUUUCGCCUGUGACGAAGCGUGAGUGACGGUAAUGGGUAAAGAAGCACCGGCUAACUACGUG